AUUGAACGCUGGCGGCAUGCCUUACACAUGCAAGUCGAACGGUAACAGGUCUUCGGAUGCUGACAAGUGGCGAACGGGUGAGUAAUACAUCGGAACGUGCCCGAUCGUGGGGGAUAACGAGGCGAAAGCUUUGCUAAUACCGCAUACGAUCUACGGAUGAAAGCGGGGGAUCUUCGGACCUCGCGCGGACGGAGCGGCCGAUGGCAGAUUAGGUAGUUGGUGGGAUAAAAGCUUACCAAGCCGACGAUCUGUAGCUGGUCUGAGAGGAUGAUCAGCCACACUGGGACUGAGACACGGCCCAGACUCCUACGGGAGGCAGCAGUGGGGAAUUUUGGACAAUGGGCGAAAGCCUGAUCCAGCCAUGCCGCGUGCAGGAUGAAGGCCUUCGGGUUGUAAACUGCUUUUGUACGGAACGAAAAGCCUCUUUCUAAUAAAGAGGGGUCAUGACGGUACCGUAAGAAUAAGCACCGGCUAACUACGUG
rnacentral:rRNA from 1 species